GAUAGCGUAUUUAAAAUGUAAGGAACCACAGAUUAAUUUCACUGUAACUUUAGCCUAAACGAUUUGAUUUUAUGAGUAGAUAGGCCUACUUUAUUAACACAUUUCAAUUUUCUUUUAUUGUUUAAAACUUUCCUUCCCAGACAUGUUUGCUUCUUUAAAAUGGUGUAUAUCUACAGUUACAUUUUAUUCUAUUUCCCCCCUUACUGUUCUCGUGGUUUUUUUUCAUGUCCACAUAAGCCCUUGUAAUGAUAAAUGUAAAAUACAUCUUGGUCAAUAAAGUUUUGAACGGAAAAGAAAAGAGGUUGAGUGACAAGGAUUGUAGUUAGCCAUCAUUAGCAGUUUCUCAAGAGAUGUAACUACAGUAACAGCUAGUUGUAUUUUUAUAUAACAACCAGACAUAUCUUAGCAUACGUUUUCCUACCAACACAACGAUAAGGUCAUUCUGGAGGUGUCUCACAACUUACUAUUGUAAGAAAGAAAACGUUUUGACCUUCGUGAUAUCACAGGUAUUGGUAUGAUUCAGCCUUUUAGCACUUUUACUACAAAUCACAAAAGAUUAAUUUCAGUUACAUCAGUGUUAACAUUUAACGGUUAAAUACUAAUCACUGUAAUGUCAUUUAGUCUUUUUCUCCUGGUAUCUGAGAACUCAGAAUCAGAAAUCCUUUAUUCGUCUCACAACGGGGACAUUUAUCUUGUUACAGCAAAAGAACAAGAAGGACAGCUUGUGGCGCAAGAUGACAAUAAAUUCUUCCUUGAUAUUUUUUUCACAUUACUCCCUUUGAGCUACCCCUUUUGCUUUCUUAUCUAGUCUAUCUUUUGGUUGGACAAAGCCUUAAGAAGUUUUGGAGGUUUCUUCCUGCUUGUGGCGAAAUAAUCUUUGAAGCUUUGGAGUCAGAUCUCAGCAAGCACAUUGACUGACAUCUGGUGGUUUGCAGUAAUUAUAGCAGCCAUUUACAACUGGGCCAGAGCUCUAGUACAACACCCGAGGAUUACAUAGAAGAUCAAACAUCAACAAAAAUCUAAGAACGCUACUCAUCAAUCACAGACUUCGGUGCCUCUGAAGUCCGCCCAACACUACUAGUUCCCCCUGGGUAUCACAAAAGUUUUGUUUUGUCUUGUCUUAUCUCAUCUUUAAUACACUGACAUUAUUUGCUCUUUCUGCUUAUUUGGCAGGACAGUGGAUUUUCUGACAGUCGCCCUCAGAAGCUCU
rnacentral:lncRNA from 1 species